GCUCUUUAAUGUUGAUAUAGAUGGUCUAAACUGUUGGUUUUCGACCGCUACGACCCGGGUUCGAUUCCCGCAUUGGGCA